rnacentral:lncRNA from 1 species
UAUCUAUUUUUGUGGUUUCUUUGUCGUUUUCUUUAUUGAUUUUUAUUCAUUCUUGUUCUAUUAAUAGGUUACCAAAUUCUUGUUCUAUUUGAAGAAGAGAGUUUCCCAUCUCUUGCUCGGGUACCUUCUCCAAGUUAUAAGGAACCAGAUGGAGGCCAUUGAAUUGUUAGUCUACCUUCCUCCAUUGGAGUCUGAGGCAUAGAUGGACCGAAAGUGGAAUCAUCUAGCUUUAGAUGGGGGAGGAGAGCACGACUUGUGCUAGAACUUCUUCAAGAAAUUUGACAAAUUUACGCUUCUCAACCUUACUCAUGGCUCUCGCGUCUUGAUGUUACAAGAGUUGCUCGUGGAGGGUACGUAAGGCUAUCCCCAACUGAAUCUUUGACUGGGGGAAAGAUGAUUCCGUCAGGGAAUUUGAUGUAAAAAUUCGAAAAACAAACAUAUAACAUUAUUAUUAGAGGAAACGUUUCAAAUAAAAUAUUUAAAAUAAUAUAUAUUUUGUGAAAUAUUAAUUUAGAACGUUCAUUUAUUUUAAAUUAAAUUAAACACAUCUUAAGGUAGAUCAUAUCAUUUAAUUAGUGGAAUGUUUUAGAGAUUAAUUUUAUACCAUUUAAAUGAAAUAAAAGAGUACUUAUACUAUUACAACAUUUGUAAUUAAUUAAUUAAUUAAUUCUAAAGGAUUUUUAAUAUAAAAAUUCUAAUUGGAGCAGCGGUCUUCCGCUUCUCUCUCCGGCUCGGACCCGGUUCAUCACCGUUGGGUGAUUUUUGUUUACCGUGGUCUUCCCCCAAUUAAGUUAGGAUUUAGGUCGUCUUCUUCAACAACAACUCUUCUAAUCGUCGUGCUAUCUUCCUGGAUAGUGGAGCAGUCUAUCAGCAUCAUAUCAUCGUCGGCUUCUUCAGAUUCGGCAUUGUCUUCAAUGUUGAUAGGAGGGAAAAGACGCAACACAUCUUCAUGAAAUUCCCAAGACGAGUCCUCCGGUAUCGCUCCAUUCCAAGCGACCAGCCAUUGAUUUCUCUGUCUCGAUCUCACCCUGAAAAAUGGUACGUUUAUUAGAAUAAAUAACUUCUACUGUUUUUUUAGUUGAGUUUAAUAUUCUCAAAUACAAUUAAGUUUAUACAAUGAGUUAGUUGUUAGAGGUUAAUUAGUUUUAGAUACUCUUUCUUAUAAAUUCUUUUGUAAGACUGUAUUCUUGGUUAAUGAAUUAAGUUCUUUCUUUUGAGAUUAUUGUUGAAUUGAGCUUGAAACAAGCACCAAAAUCUUGGUACUCAAGACUGAGUGCAUUCCUAAUAUUAAAUGAAUUCACUAACAGUCUGGCAGAUACAUUAUUGUUUCAAAAAAAAGAUAAUAUUUUAAUUUGAGUAAUUGUGUAUAUAUAUAGAUGACAUUAUAAUUUCAAGAAACAACAACAUUGAAAUUGAAGUUUUUAUUAAAAAUCUUUGUACUGAAUUUAGAUGUAGAGACCUAGGACUUUUGAAAUAUUUCUUUAGUAUAGAAAUUAGAUACAAUUUUGAUGGGUCACUUAACAUGACUCAACCUAGAACUUUUGGACUGGUCCAUGUUCCGAUCUUUAAAUAUAAAAAGGGUUUUGUAAAUUUGAUUUUGGUUGUAAACACGAAUCAUCUUGUAGGGUUUCAGCGGGAAAUGAGGGUUUCACUGGAGGCAAGGGUUUGCUGGAGGCAAUCGUUCGGGUAUGUUUCUAGUCUUCUUCUUUUGUGCAUGUCGCUCUAUUCUUCUUGUGUAUGUUGUCUUUGGUUGGGUAUCCUUAUUCAUUUGUAUUCUUAAUGGGUUUUGUAGUGGGUGUUCUGUCUGUUAAUGUGUUUGCAUGUCAGUGUUUUCUUUCAUGGUGUUUGUUUUCCUUCAUCCUUUGUGUUUGUUUUCCUCUAUCAGUCUGUUCCGUGUAAGUUUUCCAUAUUCAGUUUCUUUUUGAGAUGAUUGAAUAGAUAUCCUGUAACAUCUUUUGUGAAGAUGUCUUCCACGUUUUCUUUGGUGUUUACCCUUUCUAUUUCAAUCUCUUUUUGCAAAGCUUUGUCUCUGAUCGUGUGUGUAUCGAUUUCUAUGUGUUUUGUUCUUUGAUGUAAGACUGGGUUUGUUGCGAUUGCAGUUGCAGAGGAACUAUUUGUAUAGAGUUUUGGAGUUACUAUAUUUACAUGCAUUUCCUUUAAUAGUUGUUUUAGCCAUGUGAUUUCACAAGUUGUGUGUGCUAAGGGUCGGUACUCUUCCUCUGCUGACGAUCUUGCCACUGUAUGUUGUUUUUUGGUUUGCCAUGAAACUAGGUUAUCAUUCAAGAAGAUGGCAAAUCCUGAUGUGGAUCGUCUGGUUGUGGGGCAAGAGGCCCAGUCAGAGUCUGAAAAUACUUUAAUCCUUCAGGUUCUUGUGCCUGAUGAGAAGAAAAGUCCACUUCCUGGUGAGUUUUUAAUGUAUCUUAAUAUUUUGUUCACCUUAGUAGAGUCUUCAUUUGUUGGUUCUGACAUGUGUUGGCUUAGUUGGUUUACUACAUAUGUUAUAUCGGGUUUGGUUACAGUUAGGUAGACAAGUUUUCCAACUAUGCAUCUGUACUCAGUAGGAUCAUCAAGUAAUUUAAUUUCCUUGUUCUGUUUGUUUGGCGAUCUUGAUGGUGUAUAGAGUGGGUAUUCUCCUGGUUUAGCAUGUAGAUAGUUGUUUUGUUCAAGGAUUUCUAAUUCAUAUUUUCUUUGGCUAAUAAAAAUCCCAUGUUGUGUUGUUGUGAAUUCUAAUCCUAAGAAUUUUUUUAAUGUUCCUAGAUCUUUGAUGUUAAAAAAACUGGUUAAAUCUGUCUUAAGUUUGAUUAUUUCUUUUAAGUUAUUUCCUGUGAUUAAUAGAUCAUCUACAUAUGGUAGGAUGAAAAUUUUAUUUUUCCCAUUGAUCUUACCGAAGAGAGCAUAAUCCUCUCUUGUCUGUUUAAAACCUAAUUUGUUUAGUACUUGUUGUAGUUUGUUAAACCACAUUCUAGAUAUUUGUUUUAAGCUAUAUAGAGGUUUUGUUAAUUUGCAUGCUAGUUUGUGGUUAUCUGUUGGUUCUUUGUUGAUCCUUAGACCUUGGAGAAUGUCCAUAUGUAGACUUCUUCAUUUAAGUCUCCAUGUAAGAAGGUGGUGAGACAUGCCUGAUUACGGCAGUCACUCCCAGCAACGCCUUUCAACAAGGACUAGAGUUCCGUCGCUUUACCCCCGGAAGGCUCCCACGGUGCGGAACAAGUUCAUCGUCAAAUCGCGAGUUAACCCAUAAAUCGCAAUUGGACUACCAAAUCGCCGAUUUUAGGGACAAAUCGUUGAGUUAGGUCCCAGAUAGGCAGUAUGGUAGACUGCAUAUCUCGCCCCUUGAAACUCGACUAGUUUACCCUAAUAGGCAAUUUUCAUACCUGAAUCGUCGAUUUACGACCGUUACUCGCCGCCAGCCAACGCCAUAAAUGCACCCAUAUAUGGCAAUAGGCGCGAUGUCCGCCUUUGAUCGCGCCCUCCGAGACCAUAUAAAAAGGGUCCCAAGGGGACACUCAAAGGCACAACACAAGUUCCACUCUCACCAGAGCACCACUAAGAGAAUCGCCGAUUCCCACACCAGAAUCGCCGAUUCUCUCCUUUCAGGUAUUUGACGUAGAGCGUGUGUCGUGGACUCCAGAGCCUCCGCGAGCCCUGGUAGCAGAUUCUGUGCUUCAUCAAUCCUUCAGUGGAUGCUAGGGAGAUAAGUGUUCUUAGUGUGGUCAUUCUAGAAACUGGUGCAAAAGUUUAUGUGCAGUCUAUCCCCUCUGUUUAGUUAUAGCCCUUGGCAACCAAUCUAGCUUUGAAUUUGUCUAGGCUUCCAUCAGCCUUAAGUUUUGUCUUAAAAACCCAUUUGCAAUCUAUGAUUUUUGUCUCUCUUGGUACUUCAGUGAUUCUCCAAGUGUUGUUUUGUUUUAGUGCAUUUAUUUCAUUGCUUCUUGCCAGUGUGAUACUUGGCUUGCUUUUUGUAAUUUUUAGGUUCUAUGUGUUCUGAAAUUUUAAUUAGAAAUGCUCUGUGUUUUUCCGAAAAUUUGUUGUAGUUGAUGUGGUUGCUUAUUGGAUAUUUUGUUGUGUUGUAACAAACGUAGUCAUCCAAUUUUGUGGGUCUCUUUCUCUCUCUUGUGGGUCUUUCAGGCUUUUCUCUCCUAUUGUUUCAUCUUCUACAUGGUUGUUUGAGUUUUCAGAGUUUUGGUUGUCAUGAUUUUGUUGAAUUGCUUGGUCUUGGAUUUGUGUUCUCAUUGUUGAACUUGAUUUCAGUAUCUAUAAGGAGGAUCCCAUUUUCCUUUUCUUCUAUGUUUUUGAAAGGGAAGAUAUUUUCAUGGAAUAUUACAUCUCGGUUGAUAAUUAUUUCAUUGUUUUUAAUAUCGAGAAUCUUGUAUCCUUUUGUUAAUGUAGAAUACCCUAGAAAUACCCCUUUUGUGGCUCUGGCCUCAAAUUUAUUUGUCGGUUUAUUGAUUUUUGAGUAGCAAAGACAUCCAAAUUUUUUGAGACUUUCAUAUGAUGGUUCUUUUUGGAAGAGUCUGAAAUAAGGGGUUUCAUUAUUGAUGGUUGGUGAGAACAUUCUAUUUAUGAGAUAGCAAGCAGUUUGGAUGCAUUCUCCCCAGUAAGUUGUUGGAACUUCAGAUUGGAAUAUUUAGCAUCUAGUUAUGUCUAGGAUGUGUUUGUGUUUUCUUUCUACUAUUGAGUUUUGUUAUGGGGUGUAGAGGCAAGUGAGUUGGUGUUUUAUUCCAAAGCCCUAUAGAAAGGUUUGGAGGUUUACGUUAAGGAAUUCAGUACCAUUAUCGGUUCUGAUUGUUUUCACAGAAGUGUCAAAUUGGUUGAUUGCUUUUGUGAUGAAAUGUUUUAGUUUUCCUGGUGUUUCCCCUUUAUUGUGUAAUAGUAUUAUCCAGGUGGCUCUACUAAAGUCAUCCACUAUGGUGAUGAAGUAGUGGUGACCAUUGUAUGUUGGUGUUCUGCAUCUUCCCCACAAGUCAAUAUGUAGUAAUUCAAAAAAAUUCGUAGUUUUGGAAGUACUUGUAGAAAAUGAUAAUCUAAUAAAUUUUGCAGUUGGACAUUCAUUACAUAAAAUAUUUUUAAACAUAGGAAUAGAUGGAUUGUUUUUCCUAAUUAGAUUGUAUCUCAAAAUUAAAGAAUGUCCUAGCCUUCUAUGCCACAGCUCUGCAUUUUUUUGAGCUGAAUUUACCCAUACUUGUCCUUCUUUCGUUUCUUCAGAUGAUAGGAUGUAGAGUCCUUUCCUUUUAACCAUAGAAAUCGAAUUCAUCUUCGAAUCCUGUAUUAGACAGUGGUUAUUAUAGAAAACGAAAAAGCAGUUAAUUGAAUUUGUCAGCUUUGUGACAGAGAUCAAAUUAACAUUGAAAUUUGAAAUUUUUAACAUUGGAUCUAGUGUUAAUUUUUCAUUCAGGGUGAAUGUUCCAACCUCGUGCAUAAUUGCUAUGUGAGAGUUUGGCAUAUGGACCUUAAUAGGAUGGUUAAGUAUCCUUAUGUUGGAUAGCUGGAUUACCGGACCACACAUGUGGUAUGUGGCUCCACUAUCUAUCACCCAUUCAUUUUGUCUAUUCACUGUUGAAAUGAAGCAGUAAGAUUGUGUACCUGAUUUUUCUAUGUCAUGGGUUGUAGAUCUUCCCACGUUUGCAGAGUGUUUAGGUUUGUUUUGUCAUUGUAGCAUGGACAUGAGUUGCUCAAUGGUGUAGCUUGGUUGUCCUUCUGAAUAAUUGACUCUAUUUCUUGUGGGGUUUCAUGGUGAUCUUCUUGGUUGUAGUUAUCUUGGUAAUUGUAGUCUUCCCAGUUUUGUUGUUCUUGUGGCUCUUCUGAAUCCUCAGUGUAUGUGUUGUUUGCCCUGUAGUUUGCCUAUUGUAAUUCCUGCCAUACUGGUUUUUGUUUUCCCUUCUUGGGUAGCUAUUUGUUGGAUUGUAGGGUCUGUUAGGUCUCCUGAAAUUUUGUGAGUUAUUUCCAUUGUUGUAUGUUUGCCUUUCAGGGUAUCCAUGUACUUGGUAGCAAUUGUCAACAGUGUGCCCUGAUCUUUUGCAAUGUGUACAGAAGGGCCUUUCUCUUAUCUCUGGUUUUGAUGGUUUGUAAGGGUCAUUUGCCAGUAAGGUUGUUGUUACCUCAGUUGUGGGUACUGUGUGAUUUCUUUGCUGUUAUUCUUGUUUGAUUAUAGGAUAUAAUUCACCAAGUUUUGGGGUCGAUUUCUGAGCCAUUAGGACACCUCUAAUUGUUGUGUAGGUUUCAUUCAGUCCCAUUAAGAAUUUUACUGAUCUUGCAAAUUCAUCAGGGGGGUUAAUGUCUUCUUUGUUGGUGUCAUAUGUGCUCUAGAUGAGUUUAGUCAGUUUGGUGUAGUAUGUGCAUACUGAGUCUUGUCCUUGGUAGAGUGUGUAUGUUUGUACUAGGACAUCAUAAAGCAUUGCACCAUUUGAUUGGUUGUAUCUGAUUGCCAAUUCAUCCCAUAAUAUCCAUGGUUUGCUAGCUGUGAGAAAAGAUGGUUGUAGCUCUGGUGUGAUGGAGCUUAGUAAUCAAGAAUGUAUCAUAGUGGUGCAGGCCUUCCAUUUUCUAUGUUCCUUUGAAUAUGUUUCUUGGUCUGGUUCUGGUAUGACUCCAAGUAGGAACCCUAAUUUUGAUCUACCUUCUACUGCCAUUUCAAAAUGCUUUUUCCAUACUGGAUAGUUAUUACCAUCCAGUUUAAUAGUUACCAUAAAAUGUGAAGAGAAUUCUGAACUGUAGAUGUCAUCCUCUUUUGUUUUUGUGCUUUGUAUGUUUUGAUCAUCAUAUUCAGACAUUUUCUGCAGAUUCAUAAUUAGCUAAUUACGUGGAGUUUGUAGAAGGCGAAAAUUCUAAGUAGCAAAUGUGAAUGUGGAAGUUAAUACUAAGGAGUGUGUUGACCACUUGAUGGUCGAGGAAGAUGUUGAUCCUCCUCCUGAUCCUACUGAAGAUGAGGCUACAAUGAUUCGUAGGGCUACUAGAAAGAGGAACAGGGAGGAAGGAGAAGUGUUCCACGAUCCUUUCACAGUGUGGAUGGAUGACUGCUGGAGGAAAGGUAUUUCCCCUGACCUUAAUAAUGCACCUAGGUAUCGUGAUUAUAAAUGGGAAAAUGAUGAUGAGCUUCCACCUUGAGAUGGUCGUUUUGAUGAAAUGUUUAAUUCAGAUACAGAAGUUAAUGGAGGUAUCUAUGGAUUUAGUGAAGAUUCUGAGGUUGAUCGUCUCUAUGAUCGUGAGAUGUUGGGAGUGAGUGUGGACAUUGUAAUUGUUAUAAGUGAUGAUGAUGAUGAUGCUGAGGAUAGUGAUGCUUGGUAAUCCUGAUUAUAUGGAGUUGAUCUUCGACACUUGAAAGAACUGAAGAAAGAGAAUAAGGGUAAUGUAGAGCCAGACUAUGAGAAGUGGCUCAAGAUGAUACUUAAGAAGAAAUCGAAGUGAGGAUUUUCCUCAUCUUUUUGAAGUAAAGAAAAAAAACUUUAUAUAUUUUGUUUUCUCUUUGAGAAUAAAUACUUUCCCUUUUUUUUAUUAACCUAUUACUUGGGUUUGUUUUACUAUGGGGAUCUCAAUCGCUCUGAUACCAUGUUAAGUUUUAAUGUGUAUGAAAUAUAAUCCAAGUAUGGUUUAAUGAUUAAUCCAGAGUAAAGCAAAAUAGUGUUGAUGCAGCGGAUAAUAUUGAUUGUUUAAUUUAUCUAAUGAGUAUGAUCAAGAUGUGUUGCAGGUAGAUAAUGUUUGACAGGGAUGAUAUAUAUAUGAUUUGUCCAAGUAGAAGCGGAGAUAUGUGUAUGCAAUAGAUAUCAGGUAUGAUAUAUAUAUGAAAUGUAAGCAGAUGAUUUAGCAAUACUGAGAUCGUUUGGAGAGCGAGGAGAUGACGAUGUAGGAGAGUCGAUGAUUGAGUGUAGAGCAGAUCGGAGUGAAGUUGAUGAUGACUUUGAUCCACAGAUGAUGAUUCCCAAAGGGAGUAUGAUUUUGAAACUUAGUAUCACAAACUGUAAAACAAUGUUAGGUUUGAGUUUGAUCUAUAUAGAUGGUUUAAAUGUUUGAUUCCAGCUUACAACGGUCAUAAGCUCAAGGUUCAACUGGCGCUUGUUGUCCUGUUGCUGAAGGCAAAGGUGACAUCAAGUGAUGGUUGGACCUUCCUAAGAUUUCUAUCAUAUUAAAGGUUUAGGUAUUAAAUUGAUCAUGUAAGGGUUUAGAUUGUAAAUUGGUUAAUGAGGGUUCAUAUUGUAAAUGUUGUAAUUAUGGAUUUAUGUAAUAAUUUUAUAGAAACCCAGUUAUCAAAAAUAUGUCAAAACAUAUUGAGAGUGACAUCCAUUACAUUAGAGAAUUAAUUACAAAUAGUUUAAUAGUAGGAAAAUCUCCAUCCCUGUUCCGGACUGAAAUCCCCGUCCAUUUCCCUGCCCCGGAUAAUAUUCGUACCGUGGUAAAUUAUAUUUAUACCUUAUAUAAUAUCUUAUAUAGUAUAAUUUAUAUAAAUAACCCUAUAUAAUAUAUUAAAUGCAUAGGUUUAUAUUCAAAAUGUAUCCAUAAAAAAUUUAUAUUUAACCCUAAAUCCCUAAAAAUUUAAUUUUUAACUAUUUGGAUGAAUUGUGAUUUAGAGAUAAUAAAUAUAAAUUUAGAAACUUCUUUUUUAAUUAAUGAAUCCUCGAUUAAUUUUUCACGAUAUUUUUCUUUAAAUUUUUUUUCAUAUCGAUUUUUAAUUAUAUACUAACACCACAAUUUUAGAUUUAAUUUUUAGAAUUAUUCUUUUUUUAUUCUUUAGCUGGUUAGUUGCAAUUUUCAGUUUGAAAAUAACCAUUUUAGAAUAGAAAUGAGCAUUUCUCUCUCUCUCACCCAUUUUUUUCUUUCAAAACAACUAUAUAAUCAUCGAUAGAUAUCAAUCAAUCUAUUGAAAGGAGAAAGAAGACGUGAGAUCUCGAUAGUUCUUUCGAAUUUUGAUUUUUCUUAGGUCAAGAAUGGUUCACGUAACCGAGAUGGAGGAAAACAAUUUAAGUGAGGUUGAUUGCUUUUCUUCUCAAAAUAAUUCGACCCAAGCAACCAAUUUUUUUCCACAGGUUUAUUUAUCAUUGUUUUAGAUUCUAAACAUUACAUUUGUUCUAUUUCCUUCUUAUUCUUUUUUCUUUUGUAUAUGACAAUUCUCUCAUUUCAUUUUAUAUUUUUAUUUAUCAGGGAUCAUCAACUCCAUUGUCUCAAAAUAAUUCGACCCAAAUAAUGAAUUCUUCUGGGCAGGUUUAUUUAUCAUUGUUUUAGAUUCUAAACAUUACAUUUAUUCUAUUUCCUUCUUAUUCUUUUUUUCUUUUGUAUAUGACAAUUCUCUCAUUUGAUUUUAUAUUUGUAUUUAUCAGAGAUCAUUAAGACCCCAAAAUAUACCUAGUAUUGAGCGUAACCGAAAUUCCCAUAGCCAUAGGCGUCGUUCCACACAAAAUCAUCAAUCUCGAAGACGUCAGCAAGUUGAUUGGGUUUCUUCAUUAAAGCAGUCGAUUGUUAUUCCUCCUUACCCUAUAAACCAAGCUAUUUAUCCUCCAUUUAAUGUUGUUCCUGCUCCCCUUCCGAUGGAAAUGAAUCAAUAUCCUUACCCAACAAAUUUUACUACUAGACAACCAUUCGUGAUGAAUUCUUGGCACGAUUGCAGAUAUCUACCAUUUCCUCGUCAUCAACCUUUUGGGUUUAAUCCUCUCAGUAACUUUUACAGACCACAAGAGCAUAACUCUAGUUGGACGUCAAUAAAUCCACAGAUACCUGGUAGACAUUUCAAUCAGGCACACCAACCUUAUCCAUUUUAUCCCUCAUGUAAUCCAUUCCAAAUGCGAAUUAUGAAUCAAAGACCUUAUUUUAUGAAUAUGCAAGCACCGGCAUUUAUACCAACUCAUGGAGUGUAUGGAAAUGAUUACAACCAGGGUACCACCCACUUCUUCUGAUUAUUUCUACCAAUUGCUAAUUUUAUCAUUCAUCAUUCAUAUAUAUUUAGGUAAUGCAGUUCAUUAUUCUGCACCAUUUGAAUCGUCGAAUCUUAAUGAUCUUCAAGAGUUGAAGACGAGUAUACGUGUUCAAAUUGAAUAUUACUUUGGGUAUAUAUCAUUUCAUAUAUGAGAUUUUUUUUUUUAAGUAUAUAUGUUUUUGUAACGUUUUCAUUGUAUUUUUAUAGAGAUACCAACUAUCCAACUGAUGAUCAUCUACACAAAAAAAUGGAUAAAGAAGGGUGGGUGGACAUAUCUGAAAUCGCACAAUUUAGAAUGGUGUGUUCAAAAUAUUUAUCGUUCUAGGAAGUUACAUAUUCUCAAUAUUUCCAACUAACAACUAUAUAUGCUUCAAUUGUGAUGUUACAGAUAAGAAGAAAAAAUGUUGAUUUAUCCCUUAUUUUAGAAUCUUUGAAAUCGUCAAAAAUGAUCGAAAUAAAGGUAAUUAUAAUACAUGUAAAAAUUAAAUUUCACUAUGACUAAUUAAGUGCUUGAUACAAUUUUAUUUAUCGAUCAUAAAGAGUAUAAUUUUUUAAAUGGUGUUGUAUAUUUAACAUUUAUGUUGUUUUUUGUUUAUAGGGAAAUAAGAUAAGAAAAAUCAUUCAUGAAAAAAUGCUUCCAUUACCUGAAACGACGACCGAUACAAGUCAAUGAUAAAGAGCUUAUCGGCCUCAAGAAGUUUUAACUUUAUUUUUAAUUUGAACCUUAUUAUCUGAUUUUUACAACAUUUAGUUAGCCAUUAAUAAUUGGUUAAGUGACAUUUCCACAGUUUGAUUUUUGGCUACAUUUCGUUAGCCAUUUUUUGUUUGAUUGUCAUUUCGUCAUUUUUAUGUUCGACCAGAUUUCGUUAACCAUUUUUUAGUUGUGUGUCUUUUUGCUGUUUGAUUUUUGGCUAUAUUUUGCUAGCCAUGUUUGAGUGAGCCUCAUUUUGGCUGUUUGUACUUUAUAGACUUCAUUUUAACAUUCUAAAUUGAAGAAUUGAAUUUUUUUUGUUAAUUAAUUUGAGGUUAUCAACUUUGAUACUUUUCUUUUAUCCAUGUAUUUUGGUUAAUAGCAAGAACCUAGUGAAGCUCAAAUAAAAAUUGCAAACGAUCAAGUGAAUGGAAAUAACAAAAUAAAUAAAUGUCAAAUACCACAAGAAAUACCAUAAGAACUGCAAAGCAAGGCAUAUUUGAAGGUGUUUCGAUCUGCAUCUUUCCUGUGACGGAAAGGAUAUACAAUGUGAGAAUUGAUUGAAACGCAACUUGUGUUGAAAUAUACUUACAGAUUCAAACGCAACUUGUGUUGAAUCCAUUACAACGGAAGUACAGAUAGACGAUAUCUAUUUGUUUGUUCUUUUGUAUUAUCGAUAUUUAUUGUCUAUUUUUUAUAAUGUUCUUGUCUAUUUUUAUAUUUACAGUCUAUGGUUUUUAGUCCUUGAUACUUGAUAGAUAUUUGAUAUCUAUUAUAUAUUUUAUCUAUUUUUGUGGUUUCUUUGUCGUUUUCUUUAUUGAUUUUUAUUCAUUCUUGUUCUAUUAAUAGGUUACCAAAUUCUUGUUCUAUUUGAAGAAGAGAGUUUCCCAUCUCUUACUCGGGUACCUUCUCCAAGUUAUAAGGAACCAGAUGGUGGCCAUUGAAUUGUUAGUCUACCUUCCUCCAUUGGAAUCUGAGGCAUAGAUGGACCGAAAGGGGAAUCAUCUAGCUUUAGAAGGGGGAGGAGAGCACGACUUGUGCUAGAAUUCUUCAAGAAAUUUGACAAAUUUACGCUUCUCAACCUUACUCAUGGCUCUCGCGUCUUGAUGUUUCAAGAGUUGCUCGUGGAGGGUACGUAAGGCUAUCCCCAACUGAAUCUUUGACUGGGGGAGAGAUGAUUCCGUCAGGGAAUUAAUGUAAAAAUUCGAAAAACAAACAGAUAACAUUAUUAUUAGAGGAAACGUUUCAAAUAAAAUAUUUAAAAUGAUAUAUUUUGUGAAAUAUUAAUUUAGAACGUUUAUUUAUUUUAAAUUAAAUGAAACACAUCUUAAGGUAGAUCAUAUCUCGAGGUUGUAUAUCUCAAUUUACUCCAAAUAAAUAUGUUAGAUUAAUAUCUCAU